GACAACUGAAAUGAAGAGCGUCACGCCUCUCUGUUCAAACGAGCAGUUCAUUGAUGAAUCGCGUCGUUUCCUGAGUAGCUUAGCACUGAAAGAUUAUUCGAUCGCGUUUCGUUUUCUGUGUUCAGCUGUUUUUUAAUUCCUCCACAUAUUGAAGUAUUUCAUUUCACAACGAGAUAAGCAUCGUUCGCUUUACCAAUUACAUUGGCGUUUUUGGACAAGACAUUUGCAGAAGUCUUUCGCCAGAUUUAACAGCGGAGUUUUGCAACGCACUAUCAUUUGCCCAGUUUCACGAAUUCAAGAAUUUGACCUCAUACUUGAUAAAGAUGAAAGGGAAAAAUUGGUAACUUUAGGAUGAAAAUUGAAAUCAGCAAUGUUACACAGCUUUUUCAUAUUUUGUGAACAAUGGGGUUAGUUUAUACACUGGGAAACCUUUGGUUUGUAACAGGGUAGCUUUGAAUUUUAUCAAAAGAUAUUGAUACUGGUUAUAUAGAUGAGAAGCAAGACAUGCUUGGCACUUGUUUUGUUUUUUUCAUUGUGGACACAAUAUUAGACUUGACAUCUGUCACACUAAUCAAAUACACCUACAAUCUAUGUUUGGAACUGAAUUCUUUGUAAAGGCCAUCUUUUAUUACUAUAUUUGUUACUAACCAAAUUAGCUUGGCUCUCUAGAAUUUUCUUUUUGACGUGUCAAUAUUGCUGAAAAAUUAUCCCCAACUUCUAACAAAAAUUUUAGUGGAAAAAGUAUGCAAUGCUGUUUUUUCUUCCGAAAGAGUUAAUUUUAACAUAUCUUGUGAUAGCCAAAUUGAACUGCACAUAACCCCAGUGAAGUUUAACAUUCCUGCAAAAUAUGGCUUUCAAAGAAAUGAGACAUGGAAAAAUAUUAUAAUAGUGUACCCUGUGUACGGGCAAAUGUGCAGAAAGGUUGUAUUGGUACAGAUUACCAAGGGCCUUCCAGGUGGGCCUAGGUAAGGUGU